rnacentral:rRNA from 1 species
AUUGAACGCUGGCCGCAGGCCUAACACAUGCAAGUCGAACGGUAACAGGAAGCAGCUUGCUGCUUUGCUGACGAGUGGCGGACGGGUGAGUAAUGUCUGGGAAACUGCCCGAUGGAGGGGGAUAACUACUGGAAACGGUAGCUAGUACCGCAUAACGUCGCAAGACCAAAGAGGGGGACCUUAGGGCCUCUUGCCAUCGGAUGUGCCCAGAUGGGAUUAGCUAGUAGGUGGGGUAACGGCUCACCUAGGCGACGAUCCCUAGCUGGUCUGAGAGGAUGACCAGCCACACUGGAACUGAGACACGGUCCAGACUCCUACGGGAGGCAGCAGUGGGGAAUAUUGCACAAUGGGCGCAAGCCUGAUGCAGCCAUGCCGCGUGUAUGAAGAAGGCCUUCGGGUUGUAAAGUACUUUCAGCGGGGAGGAAGGGAGUAAAGUUAAUACCUUUGCUCAUUGACGUUACCCGCAGAAGAAGCACCGGCUAACUCCGUG